UCCCUGGUAGCCUAGUGGUUAGGACUCCAGAUUUCCACCUUGGUGGCCUGGGUUCAGUCCUUGGCCUGGGAA
rnacentral:tRNA from 1 species